rnacentral:rRNA from 1 species
ACGUCUACAUUAGAUACCCGGGUAGUCCCAGCCGUAAACUAUGCGCGUUAGGUGUAUCGGUGACCACGAGUCACCGAGGUGCCGAAGGGAAACCGUGAAACGUGCCGCCUGGGAAGUACGGUCGCAAGGCUGAAACUUAAAGGAAUUGGCGGGGGAGCACCACAACCGGGUGGAGCCUGCGGUUUAAUUGGACUCAACGCCGGGAAGCUCACCGGAUAAGACAGCGGAAUGAUUGCCGGGCUGAAGACUCUGCAUGACUAGCUG